GGCCUCCUGGUGCUCACCACAGGCUGCGUUCUUACACUGACUGUACAGAAAUAGGAGGCAGAGUAAACUUGCCCCAUAUACACCUCAGGCUCUUUGCCUGGUCUGUAUUGUGAUUGAGGAGACAUUG
rnacentral:snoRNA from 1 species